CUAGCAACACUGAGGACGCAUCUAAGAUCUGUCUGGAUUCACAGACUGAGCUAUGUCCAGCAGGUUUAUUCUGAACUGGCUUAAUGCCAUACAAACACAACCAAGACAGGGUGGCAGUGCUGCCUUUCAUCGCUCUAUACCCAAAGCCCCAGGAUUUUCAAAACAGUUUGAAACCAGCAAUUUCCUGAGGGAAAAAAAAAUCUCUACUGAUGGAAUUGGGUAGCUGAGGUAGCUUACCGCUUUGCUGCCUCAAGCAGUAGCAUUUGUGCAUGGCCCAGAGGUUGUACCAGGAAAACUCAAAAAGAAAAAGAAGACUCUGGCAGCUGAAUAAUUCUUCAAGAGAACAUUUACUUCCAGCAAAAAACCCCACAACUUUUCUCCCUGGCAAGGCCCCAGAUUCUUUGGAAUACAUGAUGGUUUACUACUAUGGUGCCAACUAAUGCCCAAGAGGGGAUCGCAAGCCUAAGGGCAGAAAAAUGCAGUCUCGACCCCUCAUUAAAAAGAACUGGCCGGAAUCUGUCCAAAUGUUUUGAAGCUGCAAAUUCAACUUGAAGUAUUGACUGAGAGAAGGUUAAGGAAACCUGAGGGUGUGCAAAGCAGAAUCUGUGAACCUCAUCUCAAAUUUGAUCAAGUCAGAAUCAGAAAAUCUUCCUGUUAAGCAACUUUUUGGCUUUUUGCAUUUACUGAGCUUGCAUGGCAGAAUUACAGAGCAGAAUAAAAAAUCACUAAAAA